rnacentral:rRNA from 1 species
GCUGGCAGCCAUUUCACCCUGUAGCCCAAGACUGGUUGCCUGCUGAAGCUAAGCAGGGUUGAGCUUGGUUAGUACCUGGAUGGGAGACCUCCUGGGAAAACUCGAUGGCUCAGUA